UGCAGUCGACGGAUCCUUCGGGAUUAGUGGCAGACGGGUGAGUAACGCGUGGGAAGCUACCUUGUGGUAGGGGACAACAGUUGGAAACGACUGCUAAUACCCUAUGAGCCCUAUGGGGGAAAGAUUUAUCGCCAUGAGAUGUGCCCGCGUUAGAUUAGCUAGUUGGUAAGGUAAUGGCUUACCAAGGCGACGAUCUAUAGCUGGUCUGAGAGGAUGAUCAGCCACACUGGGACUGAGACACGGCCCAGACUCCUACGGGAGGCAGCAGUGGGGAAUAUUGGACAAUGGGGGCAACCCUGAUCCAGCCAUGCCGCGUGUGUGAUGACGGCCUUAGGGUUGUAAAGCACUUUCAGCAGUGAAGAUAAUGACAUUAACUGCAGAAGAAGCCCCGGCUAACUUCGUGCCAGCAGCCGCGGUAAUACGAAGGGGGCUAGCGUUGUUCGGAAUCACUGGGCGUAAAGAGUACGUAGGCGGACUGAUAAGUUAGGGGUGAAAUCCCAAGGCUCAACCUUGGAACUGCCUUUGAUACUGUCAGUCUUGAGAUCGAGAGAGGUGAGUGGAACUCCGAGUGUAGAGGUGAAAUUCGUAGAUAUUCGGAAGAACACCAGUGGCGAAGGCGGCUCACUGGCUCGAUACUGACGCUGAGGUACGAAAGCGUG
rnacentral:rRNA from 1 species